AACAUUGUUUUAGCCUGUGGGGUUCUGGAGCCAGAUGACCCAAUGCCCAGAGAGCAGUGUGCAGCACAGCCCCAAGUGGGGCUAUACGAAUGAGACAGGAUAAUAUUCCUCGCUUUUAAAAGCCCCUCUGCUGUCAGGAGACAGGGUCGGGGUGGUGGUCCAGCAUGGGGGGAAGAGGACACGCGCUCUCCCUUACAGCUGUUGCCUGGUUCUGACUCAUGAAAAAA